rnacentral:rRNA from 1 species
CCUACGGGUGGCAGCAGUGAGGAAUAUUGGUCAAUGGACGAGAGUCUGAACCAGCCAAGUAGCGUGAAGGAUGACUGCCCUAUGGGUUGUAAACUUCUUUUAUAUGGGAAUAAAAUGUUCCACGUGUGGGAUUUUGUAUGUACCAUAUGAAUAAGGAUCGGCUAACUCCGUGCCAGCAGCCGCGGUAAUACGGAGGAUCCGAGCGUUAUCCGGAUUUAUUGGGUUUAAAGGGAGCGUAGGUGGAGUGUUAAGUCAGUUGUGAAAGUUUGUGGCUCAACCGUAAAAUUGCAGUUGAAACUGGCAGUCUUGAGUACAGUAGAGGUGGGCGGAAUUCGUGGUGUAGCGGUGAAAUGCUUAGAUAUCACGAAGAACUCCGAUUGCGAAGGCAGUUCACUGGACUGCAACUGACACUGAGGCUCGAAAGUGUGGGUAUCAAACAGGAUUAGAUACCCUAGUAGUC